CGUUUUAUUGUUCAUUAAUUUAAAUUGUGAACUUGUACAUGUACUGUAAAACGUUUUAUUGUGAUUGUGAUGGAACACGUUAUUUACCGUGGACGUGGAUGUAUUCCAAAUUUAAAUUCUGUUUUUUUUUUCUGGAAAUUUCGUACUGACCAGUCCGAUAAUAUUUUAUCAUCGCUGUCUUUGGCUUCGUAUUUAAUACUGGCUGUCAUCCUUGACUUUAUUCGUGCAAAUUCUAUCGUUGAUACAAAGUAACCCUGUACUUCGUUAUAAAACCUGUCGCUAACUUAACACAUCUUUGGAAAAAUGUAUUGUAAAGAAGAAAGAGAGAAAAAACAACAGUUAAUGGUAAAACCUCUUCUCUAAAUUAGAAAGUUGUUUUUACCAUUAACUCGGCACGCAGCUAUAUUGGAACAAAAGAUCAACUCACGAUCGUCGGCAGUAAUGGAACUUUCAGACAAAAUUUUUAUUAAACUACCCGACAUAAUUCAGUACUUAGAAAAUCUCAACGUAAGAAAGUGAAGAUGUAUAGUGAAGCCAGACCACCUUGUAACGGACGAUUUGAACUCUCUAGCGAAUAACAUACUUUUGUAGCUUCGCUUCAAAAAAAAAAAAAAGAUAUACUUAUUCUUGUAAUGCUCCUUUGAAACGCAGCCACUGUAUAUAUAAAUUAGUAAAUCAUCCACGUAAAAGCUUACAUCAAGCGUCAAAAAUACUCUCCGAGCUCAGCUUCGGUAACAUUUACAUGUGCGUGGAUUUUACCCAUUCUCCGAAUAAAUCAUGAUAAAAUUUCGAUUUAAGUACAACGUGAGCGUCAUUCAUAUUUUGUUUUUCAAAUUUCGAAUUCUUAUUUGUUUUGUUAAUGGCUUUUGACAUUAAUGAGUGGUUGUGGCGAAAACUAUAAUCCAUUUUCUCUAUGAUAAAAUAUAUUUAAUUUAUCA
rnacentral:misc_RNA from 1 species